ensembl:snoRNA
GACCUCCUCGGAUCGCAUCUGGAGAGCUCCCCGUGCUCUUCCAGCUUCGGCUACGGGAGGGAGAGUGAGGCCUGCAGAGGAACACCCAUUCCGCUCCUAGCGCGCGCGUGGCUGGAGAGCGGAAGACAAUCUGCCACAAGC